GCAUGGCCGUCGUCAGUUCGUACUGUGAAGCAUCCUGUUAAGUCAGGCAACGAGCGAGACCCACGCCCACAGUUGCCAGCGUACUCUCUGGAGUGACGGGUACACUGUGGGGACCGCCGCUGCUAAAGCGGAGGAAGGAAUGGGCAACGGUAGGUCAGUAUGCCCCGAAUAUCCCGGGCUACACGCGAGCUACAAUGGUUGGUACAAUGGGUAUCUACCCCGAAAGGGGACGGGAAUCUCCUAAAACCAAUCUUAGUUCGGAUUGAGGGCUGCAACUCGCCCUCAUGAAGCUGGAAUCCGUAGUAAUCGCGUUUCAACAGAACGCGGUGAAUACGUCCCUGCUCCUU
rnacentral:rRNA from 1 species